GAUGAACGCUGGCGUCGUGCCUAAUACAUGCAAGUCGAGCGAACAGAUGAGGAGCUUGCUCCUCUGACGUUAGCGGCGGACGGGUGAGUAACACGUGGAUAACCUACCUAUAAGACUGGGAUAACUUCGGGAAACCGGAGCUAAUACCGGAUAAUAUAUUGAACCGCAUGGUUCAAUAGUGAAAGACGGUUUUGCUGUCACUUAUAGAUGGAUCCGCGCCGCAUUAGCUAGUUGGUAAGGUAACGGCUUACCAAGGCGACGAUGCGUAGCCGACCUGAGAGGGUGAUCGGCCACACUGGAACUGAGACACGGUCCAGACUCCUACGGGAGGCAGCAGUAGGGAAUCUUCCGCAAUGGGCGAAAGCCUGACGGAGCAACGCCGCGUGAGUGAUGAAGGUCUUCGGAUCGUAAAACUCUGUUAUUAGGGAAGAACAAAUGUGUAAGUAACUAUGCACGUCUUGACGGUACCUAAUCAGAAAGCCACGGCUAACUACGUG
rnacentral:rRNA from 1 species